CAUGCCGCGUGUGUGAAGAAGGCCUUCGGGUUGUAAAGCACUUUUGUCCGGAAAGAAAACCUCCGUCCUAAUACGGUGGGGGGAUGACGGUACCGGAAGAAUAAGCACCGGCUAACUACGUGCCAGCAGCCGCGGUAAUACGUAGGGUGCAAGCGUUAAUCGGAAUUACUGGGCGUAAAGCGUGCGCAGGCGGUUCGCUAAGACCGAUGUGAAAUCCCCGGGCUUAACCUGGGAACUGCAUUGGUGACUGGCGGGCUAGAGUAUGGCAGAGGGGGGUAGAAUUCCACGUGUAGCAGUGAAAUGCGUAGAGAUGUGGAGGAAUACCGAUGGCGAAGGCAGCCCCCUGGGCCAAUACUGACGCUCAUGCACGAAAGCGUGGGGAGCAAACAGGAUUAGAUACCCUGGUAGUCCACGCCCUAAACGAUGUCAACUAGUUGUCGGGUCUUCAUUGACUUGGUAACGAAGCUAACGCGUGAAGUUGACCGCCUGGGGAGUACGGUCGCAAGAUUAAAACUCAAAGGAAUUGACGGGGACCCGCAC
rnacentral:rRNA from 1 species